ACGGUGUCUCGCUCUUGUUGCCCUGGCUGGAGUGCAGUGGCGUGAUCCCAGCUCACUGCAACCUCUGCCUCCUGGGUUCAAGGGAUUCUCCUAUCUCAGCCUCCUGAGCACCUUUUAACUUGAUCAUUUGUUUUGUUCCAGGAACAGUUUACAUCUGUGCUUAUUAACUUACUUUAAGCCUGCUCCCAUCGUCCACGGAAAUUUUUUUGAGGCUUUAAUUUCUUUAUCUGGCAAUGACAUUUUUAUUAUAAAAUUUCAUUUUGCAUUAUUAAAAGUAUUUAUUUUUAAAAAAUGUGUUCCAAGUGUAAAGUGUGCUUGUGCCCUUGGAGACUCUGGUACACCUUCUCCCAAAUCUGCCCCUACCUUUGCUAUUGAUUGUCGUUCACAAGGCAGUUGUGCAGGAUAUUAAGAAAUAGUUCUUGUCAUUGAUGAAUUUACAGUUUAGUAUGGGAGUCAGAUAAAUAACCGAGUCUCUGCCUGUCUCAUGAGAUGGACCAUCCCAAGAAUAUUUCCCUUUCAUCACCUUCUUUCUUUCAUGGUAAUAAUUUCUUCAGUAACAUAAUUAGGUAGCAAGUAUGUUUAUCUGGAGUCACCUUGUUACUGGAUUGGCUUAUUUGCUUACUUUCUCACACUCUCCCACCAGAAUAUGUGCUCCAGGAGAGCAGGGGCAGUGUCUGUUUGCUCCAGUUUCUAGAACAGUGUAUUGCUCAGAAAAGAAGAAACAGGCGGCAUUUCUGUCUGGGGGAGUUAGGAAGCGGUUCAUGGUGGAAGAAAUAUUUAAGAAAAGAGAUGUGGUGAGAACAGCCAAAGAAGAAUGAUAAGACGUAGUCAAAAUUGCAUAGCCCUCAAACCUUUGUUGAAAACUCAUUUGUCUAUUUUAGGGAUUCCCAAUACGAUUUGCCAGAUUUAGCAAAUACAAAUACGGAACACCUAAUUCAAUUUGAGUUUCAGACAGACAACAAAUAAUGUUUUAGUAUAGUAUGUCUCAGAUACUAAAAAGUAAGAAAUGUGUCAUGUUUCUCUAAAAUUUCAAUUUAACUGGACAUCCUGUAUUUUAUUAGCAUCCCUAUUCUCCUGGUAGCAGUUCUGAACGAUUCUUUUCUGAAAGUUCUUGUGCCAUAGAAAGAUAAAGAAAGCAGUGUUGUCUUCAAGGUGAAAUGACUUGUCCAGGGAGUAGGGUCCAAGAUGAAAG
rnacentral:lncRNA from 1 species